rnacentral:lncRNA from 1 species
CCAAAUAGUCAACUGUGCAGUCAACUGAGGACUUUGAGGUUGGGGAGAUGAACUUAAAUACCUCAAUCAUGUUCAAACAAAGUCCAUUUGUCAUUCUAAACAUCUAUCUUGAAGAUUUUGAAGUCGUGGCAAAAGUUUCCAAAAAUGGAAAGUGACCUGUAAUUUCAAGUUUCCAAAAAUGGCAAGUUUCUGGUCCACAUUCAACUUGACUUAUCAACAUCAAAGAAGCUUCAAAUGGAUUUUUCGUGAGCAUGAAAGUUGAAGAUCUUUGUCUCCCCUUUCCAAAAAGUCAUAUUUCAUGUUCAUAUGAUGAUUGGUUGAGAAGUUAUGGCCAAAUUAUCACAAGGUGUGCAUGGAAGUUCAAAGUGACAUAACUUUUGAUUCAAAACUCCAAUUUGGUCCAUUCUUUUUGCAAAAUACUCCUCAUGACCAAUACUUCUCAAAACAAGCCUUGCCAUGCAUGGAAAAAGUGUGAAUACUCAUUAUUUUCCACAUGUUCAUUUUGGAGGGAAUUUCCAUAAUUCAAAAUUGGCUUAUGAUACAAGCAAGACAACCAUUCCAUCAUGACCAUUGGAUGAUUUUAAGUAAAUUUGAAGCUCAGCAUGGGAUUCUCACGUGUUGCAUGGACAUGUUGGUUCAUUUUGCAAUUUUUGCAAUUCACUCCAUAUUUCCCUAAUCAUGAUUAACCAAUGCCUAUUUGGUUUUCAGUGUCAUUAGCACAUCAUAUAAAUACAAAACCCUAAUCUCAUUUGCCACAAUAACAGAAUUUCAGAUCUAGAAUUUUCCAUUUUCCCUCCAAAAUUCUCUCACUUCGAUUUUCUUUUUUCUUCACACAAACACUAAAUCUCUUUGCAUAUUCUUGCUCCUGGUGUAAUUCUGAGCAAGAAUCAUCAUCUGGAUUGGACAAUUGAGCUAGGUUUCGUGCAGAUUCAAGUGCAUCUUCAUGGAAAUGGAAGUUUGAAAUUGAGCUAGAUCCAGUUGGUUUCAGUGGAUUCUUUGUGCACAAAGCUUCAAGGCAAGGUUAAAGAAGAAGAUCUGGAGAUUUUGAGAGCCUGAGGACACGAUUUCAGAGAACUUCAUUUCAAGUAAGUUGAAAAUCGAUCCUCUCCUUUUGCUAUUUUCUUGUUAUAGUUGUGUAGAUCUCACUUAGCUGAGCAUGCUGGUAUGAUUAGAUUUGAUUUUGGCUUAGAAUUGAGGUUGUAUGAUGAACUUAAAGUUUUUAUGUCAAAAAUGUUUUUGCUCGAUCUGUAAAAUUCAUGAUGAUUUAGGAUUAGAUGAUUUGAUAUUUGGAAUGUGUGUUGAAAGAGCUUUCGAAUGGUGUAUCAUUUGUCCAAUUCUGAAAAAUUUGGUCGUGACUCCGCCGGAAUCUCACCGGGGAAGACGACUGGAGCUACAGCUCCGGUGUCUAGUAAUCCUAGGGUUUAUGUCCAUGUGGCUGUUGACUAUGCGCUUGUGUGUUCAUUUCAUUGGUUGUGGAUGCUUUGACCGUGCCAUGCGUGCAAUUGACUGAUGAUGUGUGCGCUGAAUCACUUAAGUGAAACGCAUCGUUUCAUUUAUUCCAUGUGCCUGCUGAUUGUAUUGCUUGCAUGUACACUUGAUUGGUUGUGAAUGUUUUGACUCUGCUUGCGUGUGCAUUGACUGAUGACUGUGUUAAGUGAAGCGCUGUGUUUUGCUUGUUUAAAUGUGAUCCGUUGAUGUGGAUUUCGCGCUUAAUUCAAAUAUUUGUUUUCCCUCCAUUUUAUUUUGUUAUUUCAUAUUAUUUCAUUCAUCUUUAAAAAAUCAUAAAAAAGUUGAAAAAUACUCCAAAUUAACUCCAAUUUUUUUUCAUAGCUUUGUUUUAAUGUCUAGUUUUUUAUGAUAUUAUUUUCAUGAAUUGUUGAUUGCUGGAUUUUUAAUUGUGAAUUUUUGAUUCAACCUUAGGUUAAUUUGAUCAUUUGCAUUAAAUGCUUUGUGAAAUGCUAUGUGUUGAUCCAAUUGAUCUGAAUUUUUGCAUGCUUGAUCUUCACAUAUGAUAUGAAUUUUUGAGCACUGGUUUGGAUUUUUUCUCAUUUGCUAUCAUUGUUUUUGACACAUAAAGAUAUGGUGUGACAAUUUGUGUCACAUUUUUGACCUUGCAUUUGUGCAUUUUUGUUCACCUAUCAUUUGACCUCUUCUGGAUCUGAUAUUUUUCACAUUGUUUGUUCAUAAUAUGAGAAACUUGCAUAAAAAAUCUCAAGGCCAUUAGAUGCAUUUCUGUUUUGAUUUGGAUUUUCUAAUUUGGAAGUUCACUUUGUGCACCUUUGCUUGCCUUUGCUUUACAUUGAUCAUUUGAGCUACUUGCUUUGUGAAUUGAUGUUGGUCCUUUCGAGGACAUUUUAUUGAAUGUUUGAAUGUGCAAUAUGUGAAAGAUUGACUUCUGUUUUGAUCAUUUGGUUUGGUUUUGAACUUGGUCUUUGUACUAGUGUUUUGUACAUGAACUAACCUUGUCUUGUGUUUCAGGUUUGGACACUUAGCAUUAAUGGUUGAGUUGCUCACCUUUUGAGAUGAAAAUUGGAUUGUGUUAUGACUUCUUUGUGUUUUGUAGGGAUUUAAGUUGAUGUGUUGAGCUCAUUGCUUCAUUUGAUUGCUUGACCAUUGCUCAUUGAAUUGUGUAACAGUUGGAUGGUUUCACUGUUUGUUUUCUGAUUGGUUGUCUGAGAUAUUAACUGUUUAGCUUUUGUACAGGUACAUUAGUUGCUUGCUUUUAGCUCUUGCUUGAGCUUUGGAUUAUGGUUGAUACACCACGUAGGUAGUUAUCCUCUUACUCCAUGUAGUCUGGAAGUCCUGUCACCUUUUUGGCAGGCAUUUUGCUGGCAAGUCCUCCUUAAGAGGCUCUGUUUGUGUUUGUUUACAGAUUGUGCCAAAGACCUCCAACCUUUUUGGCAGGCAUUUUGCUGGCAAGUCCUCCUUAAGAGGCUCUGUUUGUGUUUGUUUACAGAUUGUGCCAAAGACCUCCAAGAUGAGGCAUGUGUUACUUGAUAAGUCCUCCUAAGUGAAGAGGAAAUUGACGGAUAAAAGGGAUUAGUAGCCAAUCCCCCAUUAUUCAGUGAGUCGUUCAUUAUGCUCGCACUACGUGCUGAUGCUCUUGAACAUGAACCCAAAAUCUUUGUCCAGUGUCUGUCAAGUGGAAUAGGAUCCCACUUUCUGGAUCCCCACGCUUUCUCUAUCAUGAGCUCACCCCGGCCAGGGUUAAGAGCAUGAGGUCUCAUCCUCAUUACCAUCUUUGAUUAGCUUCACCCUAACUCUCAAUGUUAGUGGUUAAGAGCUACAAACUACCCUUGUACAGUCUGGCUUGUUUGUCGAGGUUGAUAUGACCCCUCUUGACUAAAGCCUACCCUUUUGUUUGAGCCUCUUGUAUGUAUAUAGUGUGUGAUGAUUGUUUGAUUGUGAACUUUUGAUGUGUUUGCUUUUGAUGUUUGUUUGUUGUUUGGAGUCGGAUAUAAGUCCAUACAUUGGCAUUCUGUUUCCGUUUUGUUGUUUGGAGUCGGAUCUAAGUCCAUAUAUUGGCAUUCUGUUUCUGUUUUGUUGACAGGAGUCGGGUGUAAGUCCAUAUAUUGGCAUCUUGUUUCCUUUCAUUUGAGGAUCUCUUAUGAGACUUGCUUAUGCUUUGUGCUUGCUUAUUCCAAAGGAAUCUACUUGGAUCAUCUACAUAUGAUCUCAAGAGAGGAACUCCUAAUGUGGUUUUAUCCCUUACCUCUCACCCCUUUUGUUCUCUUUAGGACUUAACCCUUCUCCAUCCUAACCCAAACCAAAAACUAUUUGUGCAAACAUUUGACUUUGUUUUCAACAUUAGAAACCUAAGCCUUAGGCUUUUGAUUUUUAAACUUUUUUUUCUUAAUACUCAUUUUGAAUUGAAUCUUUAAGUCAACUUUGACCAUUUUUGUACACACUCCUAAUUGGUAAAUAUAACCCAUUCAAAUGUGCUUCUUUUGUUGUUUCAAUGAUCACUUCUUAAUCAAAUUUUUCAUAACCUUUUGCUAUUAGGUUUGAGUUAUCUUUGUGGUAGAUGUAAUACUCACCUUUGUCCUUAGUGAUGGACAAUGAGCCUUCCAUACUUAUUAUAGGGUUAACCCCUCACUAGCAUGUUGAAGCUAUCCUCACAUGGUGGACUUGUGGUUUUUCAGGUUGAGUUUUCUCCCUUUGAUAACAAAAGACCUUAAGGAUUUUGGACCAAUCAAUCCACUCAUUUGUUUUGAAAUUUUUUACCCGAACUACGAGGUUUUGAUCCUAAUCUUUUCUUAAGAGGGUACGUAGACAAUGGGUUUAUCCAUCCAAACACAAAAUGUAAAUAAACUUGUAUAUUCUUUUCUCAUCUCUUCAAUCAUGUUUGCACAAAUAAUUUCAUAAACAAUAACCUUUGCAACAAGCGUGAAAAGGGCUCCCUAGGAGUACCUAGGAUGUUUUGGGUGCCUAACACCUUUCCAUUGCAUAACCAACCCCCUUACCCAGAUCUCAGUUUCUUUUACUAGUUUUGUUUGUAAAACUUUUUAGGUUUUUGUUCGUUUUCUAACCAUUCCUUUGGAUAAAUAGAAGUGCGGUGGCGACUCGACUUUGUAUGAUUUACCUUGGAUUUAGUCAAUAUCUCCAAUGGUAACGAAUACACCGCUACAGCGGUCAACGAUGAAGAUGGGGAUAGUGAUUGAGACAUCGAUAAUUGGGUAUGUCCGAGGAUCCCGGGUGAAGUCAUCAACAAUUGGUCUUCUGAGGAGAUUGUCUAAGUCACUUUUCCAGAGGAGUAAUUUUUCUUGUUUAUUCAUGCAUGUCCAAGUCUUACGUUCCGCCCAGGGCGUAAUGACUCAUUGUAGGGCUCAUCUAUGCGAAUACCUGCAUUUUUUAUCAUCAAUAAAGGACGUCUUUUUGCAUUCAAAUAUUUCUUUCACUGUUUUUCCAUUUUUGCAGUUUUCAAAAAUCAAAAAAUAUUUGGCAAUGUUUUGUUUAGUUUUCAUUUUUUCACACUCAUAAGCACAUACCAUCACUCAUGCAGAUGCACGUCACCGGAUCCUAUUGAUAACGAUUCUGCUAUGGCUCGCUUCGACUUUGAAAAUCCAAUCUUUCAAGAUGAAGAAGAGGGUGAUGAAGAUUGUGAACUCCCUGAAGAACUUACCAGGCUAUUAAAACAGGAACGAAGGGUCAUUCAACCGCAUCAAGACUCUGUGGAAGUGAUUAAUCUCGGCAUCGAGGACGUCAAGAGAGAAAUCAAGAUAGGGGCUGCUUUGGAAGAUAAUGUGAAGAAGGGGUUGAUUGAAUUGCUGCAAGAGUAUGUUGACAUCUUCGCCUGGUCUUAUCAAGACAUGCCAGGGCUUGACACAGACAUUGUGGUACACCGUUUGCCUCUCAAAGAAGGUUGUCCUCCGGUCAAGCAGAAGCUCAGAAGAACAAGACCAGAGAUGGCUGUCAAGAUAAAGGAAGAAGUGCAAAAACAGUUGGAUGCAGGGUUUCUAGCGGUUACAAAUUAUCCGCCAUGGGUAGCAAACAUCGUUCCAGUACCUAAGAAGGAUGGAAAGGUACGGAUGUGUGUUGACUACCGGGAUCUGAACAGAGAUAGCCCUAAAGAUGAUUUCCCAUUACCUCACAUUGACGUUUUGGUGGAUAACACAACUCAGUUCUCGGUAUUCUCCUUCAUGGAUGGCUUUUCUAGCUAUAACCAAAUUAUGAUGGCGCCAGAAGACAUGGAGAAGACAACUUUCAUAACCCUUUGGGGCACCUUCUGCUACAAGGUGAUGCCGUUUGGUCUGAAAAAUGCUGGGGCAACAUAUCAAUGAGCUAUGGUAACUCUUUUCCAUGAUAUGAUUCAUCAUGAAAUCGAGGUUUAUGUGGAUGAUAUGAUUGCCAAAUCUCAGACGGAAGAAGAACAUUUGGUGAAUUUGCAGAAAUUGUUUGAGCGUUUGAGAAAAUUCAAGCUGAGGCUUAAUCCGAACAAGGCACUUUCGGGGUCAGAGCGGAAAUUGCUGUUUUAUUGUUAGCGGAAAAGGGAUGAGUGGCCAACAAAAUGAAAGCAAUACGAAAUGUCUAGCCAAUGAACAGAGAAGCAAGUUCGUAGUUUCUUAGGAAGGUUGAACUACAUUGCAAGGUUCAUCUCUCACCUAACAGCCACGUGUGAGCCAAUAUUCAAAUUGUUGAGAAAAGAUCAGGCUAUCAGGUGGAAUGAUGAGUGUCAAGGGGCUUUCGAGAAGAUAAAAGAGUAUUUGCAUAAUCCUCCUACCCUUAUGCCUCCGGUCCCAGGGAGACUGUUGAUUAUGUACUUGACAGUACUUGACAAUUCUAUGGGUUGUUUUCUCGAUCAACACGAUGAGACAGGUAGGAAAGAACAUGCCAUCUACUACCUGAGUAAGAAAUUCACAGAUUGCGAGUCGAGAUACUCGAUGCUUGAAAAGACAUGUUGUGCACUUGCAUGGGCUGCUAAGCGUUUGAGACAAUACAUGCAGUCUCACACAACCUUACUGAUCUCCAAGAUGGAUCCAGUCAAGUACAUAUUCGAGAAGCCAACUCUCACCGGAAGGGUUGCUCGUUAGCAAAUGGUACUGACAGAGUACGAUAUCCAGUAUACAUCCCAGAAAGCCAUCAAGGGGAGUAUUCUGUCAGACUAUCUUGCUCAACAGCCGGUUGAAGAUUAUGAGCCGAUGAAGUUUGAUUUUGGAGAUGAAGACAUCAUGUUCCUCAAGAUGAAAGACUACGAAGAUCCAGUUGUUGAGGAGGGACCUGAUCCAGAUGAAAAGUGGACUUUGUUGUUUGAUGGGGCUGUCAAUGCCCGAGGAAGUGGAAUUGGUGCUGUCAUUACUACUCCGAAAGGUGCCCACAUGCCUUUCACCGCUCGUCUGACGUUUGAGUGCACCAAUAAUAAAGCUGAGUAUGAAGCCUAUAUCUUGGGUAUUGAGCAAGCCAUUGAUUUGAGAAUCAAGACUCUGGACAUCUUCAGAGAUUCGGCUCUAGUGAUCAAUCAAGUGAAUGGUGAUUGGAACACCCUCCAGCCCAAUCUGGUCCCCUACAGAGAUUACACAAGAAGACUGUUGACUUUCUUCACGACAGUAAAGUUGUAUCAUAUACCUCGUGACGAAAACCAGAUGGUAUAUGCUCUUGCUACUCUAUCCUCCAUGAUCAACGUGAUUCGGUGGAACCACGCUCUCAGGAUCGAUGUGAUGCGCCUCAACAGGGCCGCGUAAGUGUUUGCUGCUGAACUUUGAGUUGACGACAAGCCCUGGUAUCACGACAUCAAGCGCUUUCUGAAGAAUCAAGAGUACCCUGCAGGGGCAUCCAACAAUGAUAGAAAGACUUUGAGAAGAUUGGCAGGCAGUUUCUUCUUGAACAAAGACGAUGUGUUGUAUAAGAGGAACUUUGACAUGGUUCUGCUUAGAUGCGUGGAUAGACACGAAGCAGACAUGUUAAUACAGGAAGUUCAUGAAGGCUCCUUCGGUACUCAUGCCGGCGGACAUGCAAUGGCUAAGAAAUUGUUGAGAGCAGGUUAUUACUGGAUGACCAUGGAAUCUGAUUGUUUCAAAUAUGCUCGGAAGUGUCAUAAAUGCCAGAUUUAUGCUGAUAAGGUACAUGUGCCGCCGAAUCCUUUGAAUGUGAUGUCUUCGCCGUGGCCUUUUGCUAUGUGGGGCAUUGAUAUGAUUGGAAAGAUUGAGCCGACUGCCUCCAAUGGGCACCGCUUCAUCCUUGUUGCCAUCGACUAUUUCACCAAGUGGGUCGAAGCAACAUCAUUCGCGAAUGUCACCAGACAUGUGGUCGCCCGAUUCAUUAAGAAAGAAAUCAUUUGUCGUUAUGGGAUUCCCGAAAGAAUCAUUACUGAUAAUGGUUCUAAUCUCAAUAACAAAAUGAUGAAGGAGUUGUGCCAGAACUUCAACAUUCAGCAUCACAAUUCUUCCCCUUACCGUCCUAAGAUGAACGGUGUUGUUGAGGCGGCAAAUAAGAACAUAAAGAAGAUUGUGCAGAAGAUGGUCGUUACGUACAGAGAUUGGCAUGAGAUGCUACCCUUUACCUUGCAUGGAUACCGUACUUCAGUACGUACAUCGACCGGGGCAACCCCUUACUCCCUUGUGUAUGGUAUGGAAGUAGUUCUACCUGUUGAAGUGGAGAUUCCUUCUCUAAGAGUGCUGUUGGAUGUCAAGUUAGACGAAGCUGAAUGGGUUCGGACAAGGUUCAAUGAGUUGAGUCUUAUCAAAGAGAAGCGAAUGGCAGCCAUUUGUCAUGGGCAGUUGUAUUAUAGUUGGAUGAAGAGAGCCUUUGAUAAGAAAGUGCGUCCUCGAUGUUUCCAAGUCGGAGAUUUAGUGUUGAAAAGGAUCCUUUCUCCUCAGACAGAUCACAGGGGCAAGUGGACUCCUAACUAUGAUGGACCGUAUAUUGUCACCAAGGUUUUUGAUGGUGGGGCCUUAAUGCUUGCAACUAUGGAUGGUGAAAACUUCACUUCCCCUGUGAACUCAGACGCAGUUAAAAAAUACUUCGCAUAAAAUAGACCCGCUGGACAGUAAAAAGAAUAGUCCAGGCAAAAAUGGGCAUCCCGACGAACCAAGAAAAUGAAAAGGUUCGGGCAAAAAUUAGGGAUUAAAAAUGAAAAGAUCGUACACCCGGUAAGUUGAAAACCUGAAAAGGCAACUUAGGCAAAAAUGGGUAUCACGGUGGAUUGAAAACCCGAAAAGGGCGAUCCAGGCAAAAGUUAGGGAUUAAGCGAAUGAUUGCGUUCUGAGUAGUUCUGAAUCUCAUCCCAUGUUGAUAACUAGAAACUUCGAAAGGUAGGAAACAGUCCAAUCACCUUUUUCAGAAGGUUGAUCAUCUGGAGGAUCUGGAAGACGAGCGAGUCAUAGCAGAGUUGGAACCCGAUAGAAAUCCAUUUCACAUUGCCAUUAGAUUAAUUUCUGUUUUUUUAUCUUUUGUGUGAUUACCUCUUUCCAGGGAUUGCUUCCUGAUGUAAAUGCCUAUUCAGAGGCCACUCAAUCAAUAAAAUCAUGUUAUUCAGUACAUCUCUGUUUUCAUUUUCAUUUUACUGUUUUGUUUGCAAAAAUGACGUCCGAAUUUUUGAUAAACAUUGCAUCAUGAAACAUAAGAGCUUUACAGGUACAUGCUUAAUAAACAUCUGUUUUCAUUUUCAUUUUACUGUUUUGUUUGCAAAAAUGACGUCCGAAUUUUUGAUAAACAUUGCAUCAUGAAACAUAAGAGCUUUACAGGUACAUGCUUAAUAAACAUUUAAAAUUGCUGUAAGCGUUAAGUGCUUUGGAUCUUCUAUUCAGAACAGGUACACUCGGGGCGGUUCCUUAAGGUCCCCAUCAAAUGAUCGCGGAUGUUUUUCCUCAAUAGUGGGAAUUUGGUAUCUUAUCCCUGCAGAGCUGAUCAGAGCAUUGGAUUCUUCGAUCCCCAGCAGGCUCUCACUGUUGUACCUCCCCCAAGCGAUUGUUUCAGAAUAUACACUCCCCAGCGGAGUUGACAGUGCCAGACUGUAUCUUCCUAGCAGAAACAGUUGCUCCUUAGAGUUCGAUGCUAGAUCGAUGAUCUCGACGCUAGACCCAUGGUCUCUUUCCUUGAAGCAGAAUCUCGAUACUGUAUCGGUGUUUGCUUCCCCUGCCGAGUCGUCUCUCUCACAGAUUAUGGUUGCCAGGACCACUAUCGCUUUCCUCAGCAACAAGCUUUCAGUGUCGUUCUCUCCCCAGUCAGAGCCUCGGUAUUUUGUUAUUUGCCAGAACACCGUGUGGCGGAUCAUUUCCCUAGCAGAUUCCCUUGCCUCGGCUUGGCAUUCUACCCAGCAUUUCGCAUCCCUGCAUGUAGAAUCAUAUUGCAUUGCAUCCUCCCAAAUCGCGUAGCAUUUCCAUUUUCAUGGAGCAUUACGCCAUUGAAAAAUUCAAACAUACGCAUGUAAGCAUAAAACAUUCUCGGUAUCCCAAGUGAUAAGCCAGAAGUUGUUUCCAGUACUCAGACUGAAGAUUGUUCAUGACUUACCUUUAUUAUCCCCAGCAAGUGUCAUUGGCCCAUGCGCCGCCUCUAUUAUCUUUCCCUAUUUCUGUCGAUGCUGACAGGCAUGAAGUUUUUUCGGUAUUUAGAUCGAAGUGGCAUUCAGGCCAGUUUUCCGAUGUUCAGAUCGAAGAAGUUUCCGACAUUCAGGUCGAUGCAACUUGUGGCAUUCAGGCCAGUUUCCGGUAUUUAGACCGAAGUGGCAUUUAGGCCAAUUUUCCGAUGUUCAGAUCGAAGAAGUUUCCGACAUUCAGGUCGAUGCAACUUGUGGCAUUCAAGCCAGUUUUCGGUAUUCAGACCGAAGUGGCAUUCAGGCCAAUUUUCCGAUGUUCAGAUCGAAGAAGUUUCCGACAUUCAGGUCGAUGCAACUUGUGGCAUUCAGGCCAAUUUUCCGAUAUUCAGAUCAAAGUGGCAUUCAGGCCAAUUUUUCGAUAUUCAGAUCGAAGUGGCAUUCAGGCCAGUUUUCCGAUGUUGAGAUCGAAGAAGUUUCCGACAUUCAGGUCGACGCAACUUGUGGCAUUCAGGCCAGCCUCUCGGUGUUCAGACUGAUAUAUUAUUAGAGUAUAGAAGGCUACAAGUCUAGCUUCAGUAAAGGUCAUAACAGACUGAUGAGCGGCAUUCAGGCCAUGGUUAUUUCUGUGUUACCAUUUAUUUUGGUAUCCAGGUUAACAUUCUUUUUAGGUAUUCAGACUGACUCUCACCGUACCAAACAGAUUCUUCUUUCAAGACCACCUCUUUGCCGAUUCUGACAGGCAUUGUUACUUCACUUCACUUAAGUGCAAAUUUUCGGGCUUUUAUUAUAUUCAAUCCCUUGAUACCUCGAAGUGCGAAAGCCGCUGCUAUCUUCUUUUCGGGUCUCCAGUUGAUUGAAUAGGGGAAGCUGUAAUACCUCAAAAUUUGCCCCCUUCAUUCAUGCAUUCAUUUUUAGGUCAUUUAACAUUUCAUAUUGCAUUUCAUCAUGUCAAUCAGAAUUAGAUCCAAGAAGCUUGAAUAUCAUCCAAGACACUUUGUGGGUCCUAUCUGGGUGAUCAUUCAACACAAGGGAAUGGCUUGAGAUACUUCCAACAUGUUCAAAUGGGGUAUAUUCAUCAGUCAAAACAUUAAUCUUGAAGGAGCAAAAGUUUGUUCAUGAACUGUCAUGCUCGCUAGGCGAAGCCCACGCGUUUCAAAAAAAAAACGAAAAGAAAAAACGAAAAAUAAAUAAAUAAAUAAAAUAUAACAGAAAAAUCUUGGACUUGGACCUCUCUCUUUUGAGCCCACAAAGUCACAAAAAUCAGGUUAUAAAUUCUAGACUUCCAUCUCCCAAAAAACCCUGGGAAAAAGAUAGUGAGAGAAGAGCUAACAGAGUUCAGAGCAACCUCCAGAGACUGAAAGGAACUCAUCUGCAAAGAGCCAAUUCCAUCUCAUAUAAAUCCUCAGAUUGCUUUGCAAACCCAACGGGCAAUUCAAUUCCAUUCGAUCUCUCCAAUCAGGUUUGCCCUCUUUCCAUUACUCUAUGCUUUCAAUUUGAAUGCUCUGAAUGUAUGAGGUAUUAUCGUUAGGUUUUGCAUGUGGGCACAUGUUUUAGUAUGUAUGUCAUGUCUUGAUGUGUGGAUCCUUGCCCCUGACUUUGAAUUUUGAUACCCUUUUGAUGCAUGUGUUUAACAAGAGGUUUAGGCCUCCUACACUUGGUUGCUUUUUGUGAGCUCUUUUUGUGAAUUUUAAUGGCAUGAUUCAUGUGGUUACAUUUUGAUUUGGGGCAACUCUUGAUUGCACCCCAUCUUGUCACUCUAACCUGUUUGUUGAGUUUUUUGUGAGGGCUCACAUGACUCCUGAAAGGAUAGCUUGCUUGGCAUUCCACUUUAUUUGUGGGAUACCAUUUGGAGAUUUAUUCCGAUUACCUGUAUUGACUUGCUUUCUUUGAUGGUGCCAGCUCGAGAGAUCUCUGGGUUUCUUAUUUCUUUAGCUGUUAUUACUUCGGAUCUUUAUCCGUGUGGUAGAUNNNNNNNNNNNNNNNNNNNNNNNNNNNNNNNNNNNNNNNNNNNNNNNNNNNNNNNNNNNNNNNNNNNNNNNNNNNNNNNNNNNNNNNNNNNNNNNNNNNNNNNNNNNNNNNNNNNNNNNNNNNNNNNNNNNNNNNNNNNNNNNNNNNNNNNNNNNNNNNNNNNNNNNNNNNNNNNNNNNNNNNNNNNNNNNNNNNNNNNNNNNNNNNNNNNNNNNNNNNNNNNNNNNNNNNNNNNNNNNNNNNNNNNNNNNNNNNNNNNNNNNNNNNNNNNNNNNNNNNNNNNNNNNNNNNNNNNNNNNNNNNNNNNNNNNNNNNNNNNNNNNNNNNNNNNNNNNNNNNNNNNNNNNNNNNNNNNNNNNNNNNNNNNNNNNNNNNNNNNNNNNNNNNNNNNNNNNNNNNNNNNNNNNNNNNNNNNNNNNNNNNNNNNNNNNNNNNNNNNNNNNNNNNNNNNNNNNNNNNNNNNNNNNUUUGAUACCCUUUUGAUGCAUGUGUUUGACAAGAGGUUUAGGCCUCCUACACUUGGUUGCUUUUUGUGAGCUCUUUUUGUGAAUUUUAAUGGCAUGAUUCAUGUGGUUACAUUUUGAUUUGGGGCAACUCUUGAUUGCACCCCAUCUUGUCACUCUAACCUGUUUGUUGAGUUUUUUGUGAGGGCUCACAUGACUCCUGAAAGGAUAGCUUGCUUGGCAUUCCACUUUAUUUGUGGGAUACCACCUGGAGGUUUAUUCCGAUUACCUGUGCUGACUUGCUUUCUUUGGUGGUGCCAUCUUGAGAGAUCUCUGGGUUUCUUGUGUCGUUAGUUUCUAUUACUUCGGAUCUUUAUCCGUGUGGUACUUUUACAUCUUUCCCGCAUUUUACCGCUUUCUUAGUUGGAAGACCUCAAUAGGAGGCAAUGUUUUCUUUUGUUUGUUUACUUUUGUGCCCAAAGACCUCCAUGCAGAGGCAAUUGACGGAUAAAAGAGAUUAGUAAUCAAUCCCCCGUUAUUCAGUGUGUCGUUCUUUAUGCUCGCACUACGUGUCGAUGCUUCAGAACAAAAGCCCAAGAUCUUUUGUCCGGUCAGUCAGUGGAGAGGGUUCCACCUUUAUGAAUCCCCACCAUGAGCUCACCCUGUCCAGGGUUAAGAGCUAUGAGGUCUUAUCCUCAUUACCCUUUUGAUCUGCUCACCCUGACGUUCAAUGUCAGUGGUUAAGAGCCCAUUUGAUUACCUAUUCCAUGGCUUGUUUGUCGAGGUUGAUAUGACCCCUCUUGACUAAAGCCCUACCCAUGUAUGUUUAAGCCCCCUUGUUGGCAUUUUACUUUAUGCAUGUUUGUUUUGUAUGGUGUGAUCGUCUCCCCAUAGGAUUGCUAGGCUUCGUAUAGUCUCUCGUUUGCAUGUCAAUUAAGGUAGCACUGUUCCUUCGUCUAGGACUUCCUUUUUUGCAUGAGCAUUCCUAAAACACAAACAAACUCAUUGAUUUUUCUUCUCCUAAGAACACGUUAACUCCUUCUACUACAGGCGAGUAAGUCUCCAAAGGUCGAGCAUCCGGUAGAUUGCGUAGUAACGUCGUUCAUCCAAAAACACAACCCUUAACCCGUAGUUAGCCGAACUACGGCUUGCUCUGAUUCUCAUUCCAGAUGAGAUACGUAGGCAUAAGACGCGAUGUCUUAGCGAGCACACUCCUCUUUAACCCAUAGGUAGCCGAGCUACGAAGACUCUGAUUCUCAUAUUCAGAUGAGAUACGUAUGCAGUGGAUGCGACAUCCGUGCGAGUCAUUUUCUUUUGACCCCCUUUUUAGUAAAUAGUACAUUAGAUAAACCCACACCCUUUAGACAAGAACAACAAGAGUGGAUCCCGUAGAGUACUACGGAUGCGUAGGGGUGCUAAUACCUUCCCUUCGCAUAAUCGGCUCCCGAACCCAAGAUUUGGUUGCGAGACCUUGUCUUUUCCUUUCCUCUUUUUAGGUUUACUUCGAGUGUUUCCUUUCCCUCCUUUGGGAUAAAUAACGCACGGUGGCGACUCUUCUGUCAUCUCUUUUCUCGCCGGUUGUUUUUUUUGCAUUUCUUUUUUCAGGUUGCGACAGUCACAAUUAAACGUUAUUUCACUUAGGAAUAAAAGAGGAAAUGGUUUUGAGUUUUCAACUCCUCUCCUCGAUUAUUUAAACACGAACUCUUGUACUCGAUUAAUCGAACAAUCGUCAUUUCUAAUCCACCUAAGCACAGUUAAAUCAAAUUCUUUUACAAUAAGAAAUAAAAAGGGAGAUGACUUUGAGUCUUCAAUUUUUCUCCUCGACUAUUUGAAUACAAGUUCUCUUACUUGGUUAGUCAAAUAGUUAUCGUUCCUCUACAAACCUCCAAACCCCGAUUAAAUCAGAAUAUUUUCACAGUAAGCCAAAUGAAAAAGGGAGUUGAUUUUGAGUUUUCAACUUCACUCCCCAAUUGUUUGAAUACGAGUUCUCUUACUCGGUUAGUCGAACAAUUGUCAUUUUCCACAAGCAUAUAACUUAAUCAAAUCAUUUUCGUUACAAAUUAUACAAAAAGGGAGAUGGUCUUGAGCCUUCGAUUCCUCUCUUCAAAUGCUUGGAUAUGAGUUGUCUUACUUAGCCAUUCAAGUACUUGUCGUUUAUUCUAAAAUACGUCAACCAUAUACAACCUUAUUUUCUUAAAUACUCAGAUGAAACAGAAAGCGGUCUAGAGUCUUUUAUUCCUUUUUCCGAUUAUUAGGAUACGAGUCGUCUUACUCGAUUAUCCUAGUAUUCGUCAUCCAUUCAAAACACCUUAAUUACUAUCAAAUCCUUUUUAUAAUUAAGGAUGAAAAAGAGGGUGGUCUAGAAUCUUCUAUUCCCUUUCCCGACUGUUAGGAUACGAGUUGUCUUACUCAACUAUCCGAGUAAUCGUCAUCCAACCUAAAACAUCUCAACCAAUCAAAAACAUCAAACAUAUUAAUACAACUUGUCACCCCCGUGUGACCAAAACUCUUUUCAGAAAGAACACUGUUAAUCCUUUCUGAUGCGCACAACAAACUAGCGCUUAAGCCUCCGCCGAGAGUAAACAAGCCAACGUUUAGCCUUUAGAACGCGAUCUAAAAUAGUCAUUCACUAAGAGACACCAACCAACCGUAGUUCCCCGAACUACGAAUGCUCUGAUUUUCUUAUUAUACCAUAAGGAUAUGUAGGCAGGAGAUUGUUGUAUCUUCGCGAGCACACUAAUAAAAAACCUCCCCUUUCUCCUUUCUAAGGUUCUCAUCCAUUUCUAUUUUCAAUAUUUUAUAACCCAAAGAUAACAAACAACUUUCUAAGGUUCUCAUCCAUUUCUAUUUUCAAUAUUUUAUAACCCAAAGAUAACAAACAAACAUAAAUUAACACUCGAAACGCAAAUUAGAACUAAAAGGUUCCCGUUGAGUACAACGGACGUAAGAGGUGCGACGACCAUUAUUCCAUUUUCUAAAGGUUUUAUCGAUAUUUUCCUAUUCUUUACGUAAUCCACUCUCGAACCCGAAUAUGGUUGCGACGAUCAUUAUUCCAUUUUCUAAAGGUUUUAUCGAUAUUUUCCUUUUCCUAUUCCUAUGAUAAACCAACCACCUGUGUGUAAGAUCCUAAUUUUGACCCUAAGAUCCCUCAUGGCAUCAUAACAUUGCUCAUUUGCAUUUUCCUCAAGGAUCAUAGCAUCUUGGCUCAUUACCCUUGGGUUGGGAGUUGUGUGAGUUGGUUUGAGACCACCAAGCAUGCUUGAAUUGUAUAUUAUUGCUUUUCUUAUUUUAUUUACUAACCAAAAGCAUAAAAACAUGUCACUAACAUCUUUUGUUUUGAAGCUUAAGCAGUCAUGUGAUUCAAGCCUCCUAGGAGACCCCUAUGCUCAUUGAUAUGACCAGAUGAAGUUGAAAGCAAGCAUGAUAAUGGUUUCCAAAGCUCUCAAUCAUCAUAUAUGCCUCCCAAGUAUCUCAAUUUGUCAAUUUGAUCAGGAUAAGCCAAAGGGCUUGAGGAUUGUUUUCCAAGGAAACCCUAAUUCAACUAUGCAUUGAUUGUGCCUUGCUCAUGAAGCAACCUCAACCCAUGAUCAAAUACAAUCAAGGUAAAUUAUUUCAUUCAUAAUUUUAUGCAUAUAUGAGCCCAUGUGGGUGUCCUCAAUCAUUUGUUCAUCAAGAUUUGAAGUUUGGACUUGAGAAGUUGAUCAGUCAAAUCAUCUAACUAUUUUGAAAUCCACUAAGACCUAACUUUUUAUGUGUUUGUCAAAUGAAGAUGACCCCAAGAGAAACACUGUUCUUAAGAACCAUAUGAACAACUUUCAUGUUCAUCAAAAGUUCAUUUAAAAUUUGUAAGGUCAUCAUUCAUUUCAAAACAUUAUAGGUCAUUUUGACUGAAACCCUAAUUUUGUGUCAACUUCCCAAGGACCUAACUCCUUCAUUUUUUAUAAUUUUGAGGUGGGAUCAAGUGCAUUGGAAAUUUUAAGAUUUCUACUUCAAAUGUUAUGUUGGACAAAAUUUCAUAAUCCUAAAAGAAACACAUGUGCUAAUACAAAACAUUAUAGGUCACUUUGGACCAAAGUCAUUGAAAUGUGAAAAAGUCCAACUUGAAGUGCCCAUAACUUUCUAAUAAAAAAUGAAAUUGAUGCAAAAUUUAAGUCCAAAUUGAUUGUAUUGAAAAUAUAUACACCUUUGAUGUUGAAGGUUUUGUCAUUUGAGGCUUACAUCAUUGAAACAGAAGGGCUUGAAGUUGGUCCAUUUUAGCAAUUUUCUCAAAUACAUGUUUUGUACAUUGAACUUCAUGGCCAGUUUUCAAUAUUUUCCCAACUCCAAAUGGAUUUUUGUUCAACAUAACAUUUGUUCCUUAUGUCAAGACCUUUCCAACCAUUACCCAUAUGCCUAUGUUUCAAUUUUGCAAAUGGCAUUUUCGAAGAGGUGAAGUUCUAGGUUCAAUUAUGCAUAACAUGUGAAAUCUUCUUGCAUACUACAUUGCCUUGCCAUUUGCACGUCCAAACUUCAUUCUUUAAUCAUCAUCACUCAAAUGCAAUUGGUUUUGGGCCUCACAUGCGCCUGUACAGGCCCAUGCAUGGAGGACUCAAGCUCAUGCACACACGAGUUCUUCAUUGCAUUGCAUCAGCCUUGGCUAUAAAUAGGAUGCUUCACUCACUUCAAAUCUCAACCUAAAGGCGCCUGAAGCUCUGCACAACUGAAUCCCUAACCCUCCAUUAAAGGAAUUCUGGUUUUUUCUCUUCAUUUUUCAAGCUCAAAUUUCAACUUCCUUGGUUGAUCUCUGACUUAUAAUUCCUUAGCCUUGCUUCCUUGUUACUUAAAGAUCAAGUUGCACUGAAGAAUUGGAUUGGAUCAAGCACUGAAAAGCUGCACUUCAAAGGUUGAUUCUCCAACUGUUUUCCUUCGAAUCUCCCUUAUUAUUAUGCAUUGCUUGGUUUGGUUGGUACCUCUGAAGUCCUCAUGUGAGAGGCAAUUGAUUUGUGCUUUUAAUUUUGUGAAUUGAGCAAGUUCAGAUUGAACACCUCAUUUUUCUAUCUCAGAUUUCUUUCUCUAUAGGGAUCUUGAGUGGAAAUUAAGGUUAUAGGGGUGAUGUACAUCACCCCAGCUUUCGAAUGAUGUAUGGAUCGCGUGUUAUGGUUGAGGUUUGAAAACCUGCAACUGGUGGCCGGAAAAAGGCUUCUCACCGGAGAAGAUGAUUGUUUUUAAUUCAUUUAAAAUACUUUUUGAUAUUCAAAAAUGCCAAAAAUAUAUUCUUAACAUCUUUGGAUAAUGAUGAAUCUAUGAAAAAUAUUCUCAUCAAUUUCUUAAUUGAUUUGAGAUUUUAGUCCAAUUAUGUUAUUUUUCUUCAUUUUUAAUUGUUUAAAAAUAGUUUCUGUUUUCAAAAAAUGAUGAAAUUUUUUGUCAAACCUUGUUUGACCAUGUUAGACUUAUGAUGAUCCCAAUUGGACUUUCCAAGUUGAUUUGAAUUGGAUUUGAAGUUUGACCUUUAUUUGUUCAUUUUAUUUCAAGUAUUAUUUUAAUUCCAAAAAUUACCAAAAUAUUUUUGUUCAUUUCUUGACUUCUAAUCUUCAUCUCACUUCUGUUUACCAUUGAUUGAUGUUGAUUCCAUUCAUAUUUGGUCAAUGUGUGUUGGUUAUGUUGUUUGAAUUUCAAUUAUGUACAUUCCAUUUCCAUCUUCUUCUUCUUCUUUUUUCUUUUUGACCAAUGAGUUAAUGAUUGGUGGUUAGCCUUGACAUAUGAGAGGCUUAACCUUCUUUGAUCUAAAUAAAAUUCAUCUUGAUCAAAGAUCAAGUGAAUUGCUUUGCAUUAAAGAUAGGUUGCUUCUUGGUCAAGCAAAAAACCUAAAUCCAUACAAGGUCAUUCUUCCUUUUCUUUUGGCAUGGCAAGUUGUAGGAGCUUGGCUUACUAGUCAUGAUCUCUAACUUGUGUUUAUUUGCCUAUAGUUGUAUUGACCGGCCUCAGAUAGGUGUGACUACUACAUUAGUCUACUUACGAUUGCUUAACAUAGCGCUAAAUUGCCUUAUGGCACACUAACACUAACUACUAAUUACUAACUUUUAAUUCAAGCAUUUAAUUCUUGCAAUUUACUUUAAUGCAAACACUAACUACUAAUUACUAACUUUUAAUUCAAGCAUUUAAUUCUUGCAAUUUACUUUAAUGCAAUUUAAUUUCUUGCUCAUUAAUUCAUUUGUCUUUUCCCUUUGCUCACUUGAGCUCAUGUUUAUGAUUAUGCAAUUUGCCUUUUGCUCACUUGAGCACAUUAUUGUGUAUAUAUUAUUGCCUUGUGCUUGUUUUGUUUUUUGUUUGUGUGAACCCAAUGCAAAUGGAGAAAGAACUUAGAUUUAGGACCUUACCUAUGCUAAAUGGAGUUUCAAGAGCAACUUGGCCUCAUGCCUUUAGAAUGCUAAAUAUGUUGAAGAGCAACUAGGCCUCAUGCCUUUAGAAUGCUUAAUCUUGAAGAUAAAUUGAAAGGACCUUAUUCUAAACUCACUCUUGUCCAUUCUUUUUAUUGCAUUGUGGAACCUUUUGAUUUGUGUAUUCUUGUGAUAGGGAUCCCAAACUUGAGCUAAUUAGAAGGACCAUUGUCAUGAGCAUCCAAAGUGAGUGAGACAAGUCCAAAUUGGAAGAUCCUAGGAGCUUGAUUGAGUAUUUGCUUGAUUGCUUGAGUUAAUUGCUUAUUGCUUGCUAAAUCCAAAGGAAAGGAGCAACUUGGAUCAUCUUUAUGAUCUCAAGAAGGGAACUCCAAGUGGUUUUAUUUCUCUUCCCUCGUCUUUUCAUGUUUAGGACCUAGCCCUUCUCUUCUUCUCUCCACUCUAACCCAAGCCAAACCUUUUUGUGCAAACAUUAACAUUGCUUUCAAAAUUAGAAACCUAGGCAUUAUGCCUUUGAUUUUUCAAACUCUUUUCAUAACACUUAUUUUGAAUUGAAUCUUAAGUCAACUUGGACUUUAUUUUGUGAAUACUUUUCAUUUGUAAAUACAACUCACUCAAUUGUUUUUGUGGUUCCAAUGGCCACUUUUGCCAAAGCUUUUCAUAAACAUUAGCUAUUAGGUUUGAGUUAUCAUAGAGGUUGAUGUAAUCCUCACCAGUAUCCUUAGUGAUUGGACUAUAAGUCUUCCAUACUUAUUAUAGGAUGGAUCCCUCACUAGUAUGUUGAAGCUCUCCUCACAUGGUGGAUUUGUGGUUUUAGGUUGAGUUUUCUCCCUUUGAUAACAAGAGACCUUAAGGCUUUUGACCAAUCAAUUCACCAAUUUAUUUUGAGAUUUUGACCCCGAACUACGAGGUUCUGAUCCUACCUUUUUAAGAUGGUACGUAGGCAAUGGGUUUAUCCAUUCAAACACAAAAAUUGUAAAUAAGUUGUAUAUUCUUCUCUCAUCUCCCCAAUCAUGUUUGCACAAAUAUUUUCACAAAUACCGACCUACCAUACAACAUUUGUAAAAAGGGCUCCCUUAGAGUACUAAGGAUGUUUUGGGUGCUUAAAACCUUCCCAUUGCAUAAAACCAACCCCCUUACCCAGAUCUCUGACAUUUUUAUUAGUUUUUGAUUUGAUAAAACUUCUCGGUUUUUGUUCGCUUUCUAACCUUUCCUUUGGAUAAAUAGAAGUGCGGUGGCGACUCGAAUUGUAUGAUUUACUUUUGAUUUAGUCAAUAAAUCUAAAGGUAACGAAUACCCCGCUACUGAAAAGUGGCGACUCUACUGGGGAUUGAUAAGAUUACGUCUCUAGUGGGUUUGCCUACUUUUUACCUUUGCUGUAUUGUAUGUUUAUAUUUAUUUGUGACAUAUUUUUGUGCAAAUUUGGGAUGACUGUAUUUUUGUAAUGUAUGAAUUGCUUGAUAUAUCAAUUGCUUGUGUGCUUGGUGGUCUUUUGUGAGAUGAGUUCUAUUACCCGAACUCGAGUGCACUUAUGAUAGGAGAAUGGCAUAGUCUUGUUGGCUUGUGUGGAGUUAUUCCUUAGCAAGUUGACUUGCAAGCCCAUUCACUUGGUGGAGGUUAUGUUGGGAUCAAUAAAGUCACACGAGUAGUCGUGGUUAGGCAUUACUCUUUCCAAUAUAUGCCUUAGAAACCAAGGACCUUAUAUUACCUAACCCAUCUUGGCCUAUUUUAGGACGUAGUGCGAAGGUCAUUCAAGUGUAAGAUUUGAUACGAUUGUUACGCGAUACUACAUUCAUAAGAGUCUCUCUUGAGAAUAUUUUUGGAAUACGAGUAGUCGUUUAUCCGAUAAUAUCCAAAAGAUGGGAUGAUGACUAUGGGAACCUCUUGUAGAACAUGAUCUUCAGGUUUAACCAUAGUACACUCCCUUUGGGUGGUUCUUAACCGAGACUCCAUGCUCGUGACUUGCAACAAACCCUUGAUUCGCGGUUGAUCCGUUCUCGUAUAUCCUUAAUAUCAAUGGAACUUGGGAAGUACACUCCCUUUGGGUGGUUCUUAACCGAGACUCCAUGCUCGUGACUUGCAACAAACCCUUGAUUCGCGGUUGAUCCGUUCUCGUAUAUCCUUAAUAUCAAUGGAACUUGGGUGUUGAUAAGGUGCAAACCAUAAUCCACCAAAAUGGAUGAUUGAUAUUAAGGAUAACUUGAUCCAUCCCGUGACCUUUGUGUGGCGUGAUUUGCUUGAUCCUUGAGUGUGAUUGUUGCAUUCAUGCAUUCAUGCAUUCAUACACAUCCAUAUCAUCAACAAUGAGAAAAUGUUCAAGGAACUUAAGAGGUCUAUUUGCAAAUUUUCAGACAUGGAUAAGCAAAGAAGGAAAACGAAGAAGUAUAGUUUCAGACAACCCGACUUAAAAGAGUUAAGGAGUUUGACAUCCUAUGUAUUAGACCCCUUGGAGUUCAAGGCUCAUCAUGGGAAGCUGUUGUCUAUUCUUGCUACUCAGGUGGAUGAAGGUCUGAUGAGUGUGUUGGUGCAGUUCUAUGAUCCUCUGUACCAUUGCUUCACUUUCCUGGAUUUCUAGCUUUUGCCUACGCUUGAGGAGUAUGCCUAUCUUGUGGGUACACCUAUUCUAGAUCAUUUGUCGUUCAGUGGCUUGGAGAGAGUUCUCUCUUCCCAAGAGAUUGUUGAUUUGUUGCAUAUAGAUGAAUCUAUUGUUGGUGCUCAUAUGACUACCAAAGGUGGAAUUCAACGUCUCCCAUCUGAUUUCCUCAUUGCUCAAGCUACUUAUUUUGGGAAGGCCAUGAGUGAGGACGCCUUUGAGGCCAUAUUUGUACUUCUCAUAUAUGGGCUGGUGUUAUUCCCCAACAUCGACAAUUUUGUGGAUGUGAACGCCAUUAGGAUUUUCUCUACUCUUAAUCCCGUUCCUACUCUGUUGGGUGACACUCCUUUGCAUAUGAGGAAUGCAAAGGGUGGUGGUACCAUUGUGUGUUGUUUGCCUCUGUUGUACAAGUGGUUUAUUUCGCACUUGCCACAAACGCUCGCCUUCAAGGAGAACAAAGGAUGUCUACGUGGUCCAGAGACUUAUGUCUGCUCAACUAAUGAUAUAUUGUCUGCUAUAAACCGUGUAUUGAAUGGUGUGUAAAUAUGACUCUUGUGGUGAAUUUCCACUGGUGCCUCUUCUUGGUACAUGUGGUGGGAUUAACUACAACCCUAUUUUGGCACGUCGUCAGCUUGGGUUCCCCUUAAAGGAUAAACCUAAUAACAUUUUGUUAGAGGGUGUGUUCUUUCAAGAGGGUAAAGAUCCACAAAACUUGAAGGGCAAGAUGGUCCGCGCUUGGCGCAAGAUUCAUAGGAAGGGAAGGAAAGAGCUUGGUCCGAAGAAUUGUAUUGCUUUGGAACCCUACACCUCGUGGGUGAGGAGGAGAACUUCUGAGUACCGCAUGCCCUAUGAUUACCCGAGACCUACACCUAUGGUUAUGAUUGGGCAUUCAACCCUCCCUAACCAAGGAGUAGAGGAGUUGAGAGAUGAAGACCGUUCGCGUGCUUGGGUCCGUGAGCGAGAGGAGCUACUUCAGCAGCUCAGAGAUAAGGAUGCUUUGAUAGAAUUCUUGGAGCAUCAGGUUAUCGACGAGCCUGGUGAUGUGGUUACUUCUCUUCUUCCUCAGUCAUCCAGGUUUUGGAAGAGGAAGUAUGAUCGGCUCGCCAAGGAGAAGGCAGAUAUGGAGGCAGCCUAUGAGAGAGAGGUGAAGAGGCUUCGUGCAGCUUAUCUUCCAGUCUCGAGAGCUUUGGACGAUUGUUUCUAGGGUUCCAUAGGAUGUUCAUUUUUGGUUACCAUAAGAUGUACUUCUUUGGUGUAAAUUUUUUUCAGAUGUUUAUUGAAUAUGAUUAUUCCAAAAAUAUAUAUCUAAAUGUGAUUAAUAUUUUCAUAAAUAUUCGCAAAUGAAUCUCUAAAGUUCCUCUGAUUAAAAAUAAAAUCAUAUGCACAAGCAUUGCAUGCAUCAUGUGCAUAAGCAGGUUUUGUUCCAGGCUUCUUGAUCAGUGGUCUAACUCUGUGUUCUUCAUUUAUUUUGAAGGCAAGUUGACGCACCAGUACUAUACCAGAGCCAACUCAUCAAAGCUAAUGGAUCACUUCGAGCAAGAGAACAGAGAACUCAAGGAGGAAGUGGCAAGAUUGACUGCCCUGAUGGAGUCAUUCUUGGUCGCCCAAAGCCAGUCUUCUCCAACGCCUUCAACUCCUCCCCAGAGGACGGUCAUUUCAGAGGUUGCUUCCUCUACCGUGCAUGCUGCCAGUGCUCACUUUGCUCCGUCUGCUAUGCCAGCCGAGUUUCCCUAGGGGAUGCCCUCUAAUUUUGUUCUAGAGGGUCUCGCCCCUACAUUUGUUUCUCUGCCGACAUCUAGCCCGGUCCUUGCUGUGCCACCUCCAGUUGUGCAUACUUUGCCGAGAGUUGAUGACACCAUUUAUCACUCUGAGCCGUCUGUGGGCCCAGACGUGUACGAGAAAAUGGACGCUAUGAAUGAUCAAUUCCUUGAGCUGCGCAAGGAACUUAAAACUCUAAGAGGGAAGGACCUCUUCGGCAAAUCUGCUGCUGAGUUGUGCCUCGUGCCAAAUGUCAAGAUUCCUAUCAAAUUCAAAGUACCUGACUUUGAAAAGUACAAAGGAAACACUUGCCCGCUCAACCAUCUUGUGAUGUACGCACGCAAGAUGUCGACUCAAACCGACAACGAUCAACUCCUCAUCCACUACUUCCAGGACAGCCUGUCCGGUGCCGCAUUGAGAUGGUACAUGGGUCUGGAUAGUGUGAACAUCCGCUCCUUCAACGACCUUGGUGAAGCUUUCAUCAAGUAGUACAAGUACAACAUUGAUAUGGCUCCCGAUAGGGACCAACUGAGGGCUAUAUCCCAGAAGGAGAAAGAAACAUUCAAGGAGUACGCCCAGAGGUGGCGUGAAUUGGCUGCACAAAUUGUUCCCUCGCUCGAAUAGAAAGAAAUGACGAAGAUUUUUCUCAAGACUUUAAGCUCUUUCUACUACGAGCGGAUGAUCGCUAGCGCUCCCUCUGACUUCGCCGAGAUGGUGAACAUGGGGAUGCGACUAGAAGAAGGAGUCAAGGAAGGGCGCCUGACCAGAGAAGAAGGCUCUUCUGCCAAACGUUAUGGGGCGUUUGCCAAGAAGAAAGAUGGAGAGGCACAUGCUGUGUCCUCCCAUGUUAAACAAAGAAGACCCUCUGUGAAGAGGAAGACUGUGCGCCCGGCCAGUAACCAGCAUCAGGUGGCUCAUAUAGCACCUGCAUUCAGAGAAAACCAACAUUAUCAGCAUCAGAAACAGCAACAGCAACAUCAACAAUAUCAACAACAACAGCAUCGUCCGUAACAGCAGGCCUACCAGUCUCGAAACAACAAUCAAACCAGCACUAGCUAUGAUAGGAAGAUGGGCACUUUUGAUCCAAUUCCAAUGACUUAUGUAGAGCUAUAUCCUUCACUGAUUGAAAGGAAGCUGAUUACUCCACGUGACCCACCUGCUAUACCAACCAACCCUCAGUGGUGGUACAAGCUUGAGCUUCACUAUGUUUAUCAUUCCGAUGCUCCCGGACAUUAUAUGGAGAACUGUUACCCUCUCAAGACCAAGGUUCAAGACCUUGUUAGAAGCGGUAUUUUGUUUUUCGAGGACGUAGGUCCUAAUGUUAAGAAGAACCCAUUGCCCGAGCAUGGGAAAUCUGCUGUUAACAUGGUUCAGGGUUGCCCUGGCAAGUACAAGGUCAGAUAUGUCUGCCAUAUCAGACAAUCUUUGGUCGAGAUGCAUAGACUGUUAUGUGGAUACAGUCACUACGAGCAUGACCAUGACAGUUGCCGUGUAUGCACUGUCAAUGAGAGAGGAUGUCGCCAAGUUAGGAAAGACAUCCAAGAAAUGCUGGAUCAGGGUGUGAUCGAGAUACUUCAGAAUCGUGAUGAGGACGAAGUUAAUGUUAUAUCCCCUAUAUUCAGAAUACUUGAGUCUGUUGUUGUCAGAUAUGAUGGCAACAAGCAGAAGGCAUCUCCUACUCUUAUUAUUAAGCCAGGUGGCCUUGUUCCAUACUCUUCAAACAAGGUUGUUCCCUAUCGAUAUAAUGCAGUUGCAUUAGAAGAUGGGAAGGAGGUGCCUCUACCCUCUACUUCUGUUACAAGUAUCUCUGAUGUCAGUGGUUUGACCCGCAGUGGUCGUGUUUUUUCGGCGCUGCCGAAACCCCAAGUUGACACCAGAAGGACUGAUGUUGUUGAUAAUGUCGCCCAUCCUGUAGGGACUUCUUCUACUUCUCCGAAACGGCACUUGAUGUUGACAGACCUGCCGCUGUUGUUAGAGCUCAUGUCUCUGCUGGCCAGAAUGGCAUGUUGAAAGGGGACUGUGAUGAGAUGCUGAGGCUCAUCAAGAGGAGCGAAUAUAAUGUUGUAGAUCAGCUGCUACAAACUCCAUCAAAGAUAUCUAUGAUGUCUUUGUUGAUAAACUCCGAGCCACACCGCGAAGCUUUGCAGAGGGUGUUGGACGUAGCAUACGUGGAUCACGAUGUCAUAAUAGAACAGUUUGAUAGCAUUGUUGCAAACAUUACUGCUUGUAACAACUUGAGCUUCUGCGAUGCUGAUCUUCCCGAGGAGGGAAAAGACCAUAAUUUGGCACUACACAUCUCUAUGAACUGCAAGGAUGAUGCCUUGUCUAAUGUGCUGGUAGACACAGGAUCAUCGUUGAAGGUGUUGCCAAAAUCCACUCUGGCGAAACUUUCUUACCAGGGGCCUCCCAUGAGGCAGAGUGGAGUGGUAGUCAAGGUUUUUGAUGGAUCCAGAAAGACAGUGAUUGGCGAGGUUAACUCCCAAUCAAGAUAGGACCUAGUGAUUUCCAUAUCACUUUUCAGGUCAUGGAUAUCCACCCAUCAUAUAGCCGCUUGCUAGGCAGACCAUGGAUUCACGAGGCAGGCGCCGUGACAUCUGUAACACCCCUUUUUCUACCCCAAAAUACUUAACAUAUAAUCAGAGUAAAUAAGCACGCAUAUAAACAAAAGGGCGUCACAUCGACGUUUUCAAAAACUAAGAGCUUUCAAAAACCAACAUCAUAUUUUUCUACCCCAAAAUACUUAACAUAUAAUCAGAGUAAAUAAGCACGCAUAUAAACAAAAGGGCGUCACAUCGACGUUUUCAAAAACUAAGAGCUUUCAAAAACCAACAUCAUUCAUCAUCAAUAUUCAAUACACCUGGUCAUUUAAAAUAACACAUUUCAAUUAUCAUGAAUAUUCAAGCAUAUGCGUUCGCAACGGAAAAUAACGAAUAUCCAUGCAUUUCAUCAAAUGAUCCAUAUCCCAUACCAUGAUCAUCUCUCAAUAAUCUCUUCAAUUAAACAUGUUCACAAUUAAUAACAUAAAACGUAUCCAAAUCAGAUAUGAGUUCCAUACUACCAAUCUAUCCAGUGUUACAUGACCAGAGCAUUGACUCACUACUUAGUCUCUAAACGAAGUACCGCAGCUCUCCAGCUAAUCUCGAGUGAGCUAUCGUCCACUUACUUCAACGAUACUACUCCUGAGUAUCUGCGCGAUACCCAUGUAAAGGUAACAUUCAAACAGAAAGGGUGAGAAUUCAAAUCAUUAUGAAGAAGUAUAAUCAGCACAUGAUAAAUUCAACCAAUUAAAGGAAUUCGUCACACUUAUAUAACCAGUAAAUAAAUUAAACACACAUUUAUUUCACAUGGUCAAGCACACAUAAAACUCAGAGUAAAUACAAAUCCAAUAGAUAUUCCAAAAAAUACACAUAACGACAACGUUCACAUAAUCACAUAAUUGCCAAUUAUACCAAAACAUCACCAAAUUCAAUUACCAAAUCGCAACAGCAAACAUCAGAGCGAACACAACAAGGCAAAAUUCAACUACACAUGACCUAAUUGACUCAAGCAACAGUGACCAACAUGUGGUGUACACUCAAAUUGCACCUCCCAUUGUACAUCAUUUCAAUUAUAGGUAUUAACAUGCAUUCACAGCAUCAGCCAUUGGCAUCGCACCAGCAGGACUAGCCAUCAGGAGAAGUAACUGUGCGACGAGAUCAAGGUUUCCAUGAGACCAAAGCCCUACUGGUGGUCCAAUGACUGAUGUAACCCAAGGUCAUUUGAUGCAAUGGCCAAUGUUGAAGCUCAAAGGACACAUGGGGUUUAGGCAUACUGGGCCCAUAAAAGUCAACCAAAGGCAAGUGAGCUGAGCGGGAUAAUGGUGAGACACUUCUCCGUCAGUCAAAGAAGGCAUUCAUACAAACGGUCGGAAAAGAAAACUCGUCUUCUUCGAAUUACAUCUUGGAAAGUCACAUGGUUGAGAUCUGUGACUACGGAAAAGAUGAUGGGUGUGGACAAUUUAACUGUUGCAUGAGCCCAAAAUUCAUUCUUUUGUUAAGCCCAUAAUUUUAGCAUUAACCAACUUUCAAAUUCAUUCAAACAUCCACAAUAACCAAUUUGUCCAAUUGCAUCUGAAGACCAUCAAAGGCCCAUAACGCAGGUUCCAAAAGAUCCAUUAUGAUCCAAAUCAUAAAGCCAUAAUCCAUUUAGUUGAUUUAACACAAUCAAACCAUGACCAUUUAUAUACCAUCACCAUUGACUGGUUUAACCAAUGUCCAACUUUUGAAUCCAAAACACAAAACCAAACUACCAAUGAUUCUCAAUCCAAUUGUCAUUCAUUAGAUUCAUAUCUCCCAAUAUCCAUGUAACCCAUAUCAUUUCUUUACUCACACAACCAAUUAAUCCAUAAAAGCAAUUAUCCAUCCUUUUAUGCAUCACACUCUUUCUGAUUCAACCAAAAAAAGAAGCAACGUAGCUACAAUGAAAACAAAUGUCAGUACACGCGAGCUGCAAGCAACAAUGAAAACGCACAAGCAAAAGAAGGGAGCCCAUCACCAACCGACAAAACCAACACAGUACAACAGGACCAUUCGCCAAACCGAACAACCGCCCAAAAAAACUCACAUCCAGAACAAUCUAGACAAACUUUCCAGAUGUUCUCCAACGAACCGUCGCAUCACCAUCAAUGCAAUUCCUCUUCCUAAACACACCCGCAAAUAACAAUCCAAUAACAGAAAAAUCAGUACAUCACCCAUAAAUAAUCUCUUCCAUCUCAGCUCGCUCCGACAUCCUCAUCGCACCCUAAACAAACCCUCACCAAUACAACAACCCAACAAAAUUGGUUUGCUAGCAUCAGUCCCAACAAUUUUCAAGAAUCGAGAAGCAAUAAAAACGAAAAGAGAAAGAAAACUAACAGAAAAAUUCACAAUCGGAAGGAAUUCUGAAACAUUUCACAAUCACGAUCUGGAAUCGUCUUCAACCAAUCCUUCAGCCUCAACCCUCAACCAACCUCUCUUCCAACCCAACAACCACCUCCAAACUCUAACAACUUCACAAUCCAAAUCUUCAACAACCGUAACCAACUCAUAAAACCAGCCACCACUUCAACCUCCUCUUCCCAACCGAGAUUCCUUCAAUCUCAACCGCUCGCCACCGCAAUAAUCACCCCACUCUCAUCUCAGAACGAUAACAGGAUUGCAGGAAUUAUUUACAACGCACAGCAACGGAAGAGUUCGAGAAGGGAGAAGAAAGGAUCAAGCGAGAUCAAAGCGGAAAUACGCGGUACCUGAUAGACUGGUGAGAUUUCAAUUUGUCGUUUAUUUUCUUCUGUUUAAACCGGUGGAAGCAGAGGUUCGACGCCGUGAAUCGGUGUUGCUCUAUUCGAUGCGCCGUGAUUUGGGGAAGGUGAAGUUUCUCACAUGCAGAGACGGAAAGAUCUAUGUAGUUACAGCACUGAGAUUUGGGGACUCGCCGUCUCGUCCUUGCUCCGCCGUUUCUACCGCCGUCGUCGGUGGCGAGAACCGACGCGGUUAGGUUCUUCGCCGCGAUACUAUCUUUUUUUUUCUUCUGGAUAUGCUGAGGCGUAGAAAUGUGAGGAAGAUGAAUUUUGUGUUCCAACUGUUUGUUUGGUUUUCAAUUAGUAUAUAUUUAGGUUAAUUAAGUUUGUAACUAGCGUAAUUAGAGGGUUAGGUGUUAUUUAGAAUAAUUAGUAAUAAGUAGGAUUGAUAGGAUAUAGUUAGAGUAAUG